CCAGAGUCGGACACGACUGGCCUGUAUGGGCAGGGGUACCUUUACCUUUACAUUAAGUUUAAUUUUUCCUUGGUGCAUCUAACCCAUUUUAGAUCUCAUGGCAACCAGGCGAUGAACUUUUUUUGCAGUGGCACCCAACCUCUGAAAUCUCUCUCUUUCUCUGUGUCACACACAGAGACGCGCACACACACGUGUGUGUGUAAGGCAGUUACCACCUGUGAUGUUGUUUCAGCAUCUGUUAAAGGCUGCUUUGUUCAUUUAAGCAUUCUGCUGUUUUUAUUGCCAGCCUUGUUCUGAUAAUUUUUACUGAGGUUUAUUGUACUUCUUUUAUGUCUGCAUUUUAAUGUAUUUGUUUUGUACUUUAGUAGUAGAAGAAGAAGAGUUUGGAUUUGAUAUCCUGCUUUAUCACUACCCUAAGGAGUCUCAAAGCGGCUACCAAUCUCCUUUCCCUUCCUCCCCCACAACAAACACUCUGUGAGGUGAGUGAGGCUGAGAGACUUCAGAGAAGUGUGACUGGCACAAGGUCACCCAGCAGCUGCAUUUGGAGGAGCGGGGAAGCGAACCCGGUUCACCAAAUUACAAGUCCACCGCUCUUAACCACUACACCACACUGGCUCUCAGUAAGUAAUAAGGGUUGCAAUCCUAAAUAUUACUUACUAGGGUAAACUUGCAUAGAAUUGCAAGUGUGUCUUGUUGGUUUGAUAUGUUUUGUACACUACCCUGAGGUAGUUUUGAUAAUGAAGGACAGCAUAAGAGCUGCUGCUGCUGAUUUUAUACCUGAUAGAAUGUAGCAGACAAACCAUUAUGUAAGCUCAAACAUUAGUAUCAUUGCUCCACUGAUCAGUGGGAAAGUACAUUUGUGUCCACAGGAACUGGGCUAGAAUGUUAGCAAAACCAAGAAAUUGAAGUGACUAGUUUUUGCAUGGGCACCAUACAUUUAAAGCAGGUGGCAAUUCUAUGCAAGUUUACCCUAGUAAGUAAUAUUCAGGAUUGCAACCGUUAUUACUUACUGAGCCACUUAGGCUAUAACCUUAAACACAUCUACUGUACUGGGAUUAGACUCCAUUAGACACAAUGUAACAUACUUCUGCAUAAACAAGAAUUGGAUUACACUACUUGUGAUGUAAAACCAAGGUACUUUAAAGCUUAGAGGGUGUAGCAGUGCCUUUUUAGGAUUUCCAGGCUAAACAUCAGGAGCACUACAAAUUACAGGAGUUAUGUAAAGAAAUUACAUCUUAUUUUAAGGUUGUAGGCAGAAAUACAGAGACAGAGAUUAAGCACAGGUC